rfam:Triticum aestivum genome assembly, contig: Triticum_aestivum_CS42_TGACv1_scaffold_580131_7BL
CUCGUACUCUCUCCAUUCGAAAAAACGUGUCCCUCAAAUGGAUGUAUCUAGUAUCAAGUUAGUGCUAGAUACAUCCAUUUAAGGGAUAAACUUGGGACAAGUUUUUUCGGACGGAGGGAGUAUAAA